rnacentral:rRNA from 1 species
AGAAUCAACGCUGGCGGCGUGCCUAACACAUGCAAGUCGAACGAGAAAGUGGAGCAAUCCAUGAGUAAAGUGGCGCACGGGUGAGUAACACGUGAAUCAUCUACCUCCGAGUGGGGAAUAACCUAGAGAAAUCUGGGCUAAUACCGCAUAACACUUACGAGUCAAAGCAGCAAUGCGCUUGGAGAGGAGUUCGCGGCAGAUUAGUUAGUUGGCGGGGUAAUGGCCCACAAGACGAUGAUCUGUA